ensembl:lncRNA ANKRD18DP ankyrin repeat domain 18D, pseudogene
CCAGAACUGAGUAAGAAUUGUGAUAAAGAGUGUUUAUCUGUAUAUUCAGGGCUUCCUUUAAAAUUAAUUACAAGAAAGUUCAACUGAAAAUUGGUGAAAGUUUUGAAAAAUCCAAAAUUACUGUUUGUCCUGAGGAAGAGCUCUUACAUAGUUACUCUAAAGAGGGACAAAAUUAAAGGAAGUGCCCUCUAACCCAAUGAAUCAUGUCCCUGACUGCAAGGAAGCAGAUGCAUCUUGGAGUGUCGAACUCUGUAGUAUCCCAGGCAUUGCCUGAACAGGAGGAGAACAUCACAAACCUGUCUUUUCAUUGUAUUUAUACUCUGGGUCCCUCAAACACACCUGCCAGUCAUCUUCUAAGCUUUAUUCAAAUGAAAAUAAAUCAGACUGUAAAACUUGUAACUAUCCAGACAUGUAGCCUGUUUCUCAGAGAUGAAGAGAAUUGUUGUAAUGAUACAGAAAUAGAAAAAUUAGGGAACCCAGUAGUUAUGGUUGAAAUGAAAGAGGACCAAGAGUUUGAUAUGCAAAUGACAAAAAAAUAUAAACCAAAAUACCGUUAAUUGGAAAUUAGACAUUAGACAUUGGCCUCAGUCUAGAGAUCCAAAAAGUCUGUUUGAUUUGUGGUUUGUUUACUCUAAAGAAAUGAAGCAUGUGAUACAGAUAGAAAGCCACAGUAUUUCUGCUGUUACAGACACUUACAAAAACAAAAAUCCAGUAAGCACUUGUUCCACAAGCCAUAUGGAACUUAGAAGCUCUUCUAAAGCUUAGAAGAUGACUGGCAAGUAUGUUUCAGGGAGCCACAUAAGACAGUUCCACUGCUAAUAGCUAUAAAAGCAUGAAACCUGCAUGAGAAAAUGUGAGUUAUUCUCCACCCCAUAGUGACAGAACAUCAAAAGCAUAUCUAGAAGAAGACUUACAGCAAGAUAUGCAAAGGCUUAAGAAUGAGGUGGGCAUGUUACAAGUAGAGUUCCUGGCUUUGAAGAAAGAAAGCUUAACUAUAAAAAGAAAGAGGUUCACUUGCUGCUUCUCUUUUUAUAAAUUAUCUGAUUCAUUCUGGUUUUCUACUCAAGAAAAUCUCAUGUGUCUAGUUACAGUGUGGUUAUCUAAAUGCAUAAUUAUGUGUCUAAGUAGAUCAGUGCUGCUAUCUAAAUGACAGUUCUGGAAAACACUCUCAUAAUCUUUGUUCAUUAGUCAACCUGAGUCUCACUAUCAGUCUUCCAAGUGGCACAUGGGCUGGGAAAAUAAUUUAGCCAUAUGCCAUGUGACCUUCUGAAUCAGCUAAACAUAAAGAAAAUUGCUAAAGAAAUAAGCUCUAGAUUCUUCUUACUGUAUUCAUUUAAAGAUGACUUACAUUUAUUUAAAUGAUAAAAUGGUAACACGAUGGGAGGGAAACAAUGACUGAGAAGAGACAUGAAAAUGUAUCUAGCCUGGAGACUUGUAACAAAUAUUAUCAGCCAAAGGCGUCUGUUUAAUGUGCUUUCAUGCAUGCAAGUUUAUUUGUCUGACUCAAGCUGUUUAAACUUAUAAUUCCAUAAUGGCCAUUUUAAAUAUUUUUGGAAACAAAUACAUAUACUUUUGCAUAUUUAAAAAAAAUCACCACUCUCCAAUGUUUCUGUUGAAUCACACUUUUACAUUAUGUUGUUUAAUAAAAUAUGGUAAGUUUUGACAUGUAUGAUUUUAUCAUGUAAGUAGCAUAACUUCUCAGCCAAAUAUUUAUCAUUUGACUCUAUAGUGGAAAGCUGAGUUCUGUACAUUGUGUUCUAAAGAUAGACAAAAAUCUAGAGAUUUUCUUAAAAGCAGAUGAGGCCUCCUGCCAUCCUCUGAGGCAUUAAAUUGCUUUGCCAAAGUCACGCUUUUAAUUUAUUUGACUAAUUUGAUAUAUUUAUCUGGUAAUUUAUGUAAUGCAGCAAUAUGUAAUUGUAUCUUCCCUUUUGGUGCCAUGAAGUGCUAGGUAAUGCCACCUUAGGAGCUUUGGGUGAAUUAUUUAAUAUUUAUUGGUUUUACUUCUAUUAUCAAGUAGAUAAUGGGGCUAGAGUAGACAACUAUUCUGUAUAUCUUCCAGCUAUAAACUUUUGUGGUGAUUGAAUGUAAACUUGGGGAACAUCUCAUUUUCUAGGAUUCUGCACUAGCAACUCAGCAGUGUCACUCUGCUCCUUGAGUUGUGGUAAACUUUGGUUCCUCUAUUUCAGUGAGCACCUUCACUUUUUUGAUAUCCCAGGAUCCAAGUGAAAAAAUAAGGAUAAAAGACAGUGGGGAAAAUAACAGCUUAGUGCAGAACAGGGAAAGCUUCUUUUCUGUUUCUGAAGCCCCACAAGGUCACCUCCUCUCAAUCUGGCUAUUUCAUGGAGAAUCCAGGUGACAAAGACAGAAGACACAUUUUAUGUCUGUGUCUUUUUGUUUCUCUGUUUUUGUGUUGAUAUAUUUACACCACAGAAGUAACUGUGAUCUGGUGGAGAACUAGAAGUAGAGUCAGAAGCCCUGGGAACAUCCUGCAGCUUGCUUAUAUUUUUAACCUCUCUUUUUAAGAAUUGUGAUAAGAAAUUCAUCAAUGUAUGUACGUAGAAGUGCUUAGUACAAUGUCUAGAUUUAUGAUUUAGUAAAUGAAAUUCUUAUAACUGACUAAAAAUGUUGAGUCAAAUCACAAUAGAAUAUUAUCAGGGAAACAGAACUUCUAAAACUUUGAGAAAUUUUAUCGGUCCAAAUACACGUGGAGGUAAAGCUCUUACUACAGGGUGGUAUCUGGGUUAGAUAUCAGAGUAUAAAUGCAAUUUCCUUUUUCCAAUAUUUUAAUUUAGUCAAAUUUGUUAAUAUUUUACUUUAUGCUUUGAGUUUGUUGUAAUUCAGAGAAAGGCUUUUCCAAUUCUGAUAUUCUUAACAGUUCUCUAGUGUGUAUGUGUGUGUUUUUAGUUUUAUGGAUUCAUUGACUUCAAAUAAAGUUUUGAACUUUUUGAAAUUUAUGCUCUUUAAGGUUCAAGGUUUUGCUUCAACUUUUUCUCCAGUUGGAUAUCCACUUACAGCAACUUUUAAUUGCAUGAAUGUACAGGUUGUUCUUUCACUUCAGAGAUAAACAUGAUAUGUUAUUUUAUUGAGUGCUAGCUGAAAAUUUCUUUUGUUUUAUUUAAGAUUUUCAAAGUUAUAGAAAAAAGAAGGAUGUGAUAUAUACAAAUUGCAUAUUGAAGGGAGAUAUUGCCACACUCAAACAGGAAUAAUACACAAUAAAAAAUGACAGUGUCAAAAAGGAAAAGGAAUAUAUUCAGGAAAUUAAGAGUAUUAGAGAAAUAAAUGCUAACUUUGAAAAAAGUGCAAGACUCAAUGAGGAAAUGACAACAAAAACGAUGUCCCAGUAUUGUCAACAGCUUAAUGGCCUCAAAGCUGAGAAUACAAGGCUGAAUUCAAAAUUGGAGAAGGAAGAACACCACACAGAUGGACUGGAAGCUGAAGUUGAAUUCUUCCAUUCUAGGCUGGCUGCUGCUAUAAAUGAGCACAAUGAAAGUUUAGAAACGAAAGACCUAGAACUUGUUUUACAGAGAGCACAUAAUUUUUCCGUACAUAAAAAAAUAAGUUCUACUGUUUCUCAACUAAAAGAUAAAAAUGAGUUGCUUACUGAACAAUUUUCUAAAGCUCAGAUGAAGUUCAAUACCUUAAAAGGUAAGCUCCAUGAGAUAAGAGAUGCUCUCAGGGAAAAGACAUUGGCUUUAGAAAGUGUACAGAUGGACCAAAGGCAAGCACAGCAUCGAAUAAAGGAAAUGGAGCAGAUUCAUCCAAAUGAGGAAACUAAAGGAGUCGAUCCACCGGAAAGCACAACUGUGUAGAGGAGAGACUAUGUCAACUAGAAUGUGACAGUCUCUUGCUUCAACGACAACUAGAGGGUGCUCAUAAGGAAGGCAAUGAUAAAGAGAUAGUAAUUAAUAUCCAAGGAGGCUGUCUUGAGAGUGGAAAGAUCUUCUAGAAGAGAAAAAUAAGAAACUAAUGAAUGAAUAUAAUUCUAUAAAAGAAAAACUGUUUCAGUAUGUAAAAGAAGAAGGAGAAGUAAGUAUGAAGAAAGAUAAAUAUAUUUAACCUUCCAGAAAGAAAAUUUAAACAUUUCAUUGUGGCUAUAUGUUGAAUCUAGUUCAAUAUAAUAAUAAAUAGAUGAAAAUGUAUUUACCAUACUGUAUAAUUCCAUUAACAUGAAACAUCCAGAAAAGACAUGUAUAGGGACAGAAAGAAGAUGAAUGUUUCUGUAGGGCUGGGGCUGGAAAUGGGUCGUGACUGCUGAUGGGCAUGAGGGAUCAUCCUGGAGUGAUGAAAAUGUUCUAAAGCUGGAUUGUAAAGAUGACUGCACGACUGGUAAAUUUACUAAAAAUCUUUGAACUGUAUGUUAAAACAGAUAAAUUCUGUAGUAUGUAAAUCAUAUUUUAGCAAAGCUGUUUUAAUAAAAAAACAAAAAAAAUAUGUUUACUGUAUCAGCUUGGAAACAUACCUUGUUUCCAGGAAAUAAAAGGUAGAGCUGACAGAUGCUUUCCUUUGAGUAAACACAUUAUGUCACCUAUGAAAUUUUAGUAGCUACAGAGUAAUGUUCAUACAGUAUGUAGUCUUAUACUGCUGAAAUAAUAAAUUUAAUGUCUUUAUGUUGUCACAUUUUAAGACCAUAAUGAAGCAGAUAAAUUGAUAUCUUGUACCUGAAAUAAGUAUUUUGAAAUUAAGAUUCAAUUAAGUGAGCCACUUUGACACUUAAUUCUAGAUUUCCCAGAUGAACUGAAGUGUGUUGCUCUGUCUUGUGGUGCUUUUCCUUCAGUGGCUCUUUUAUGUAUUUUAGUUGGCAUAACUUUAUUUUGAUUCAUAUCAAUGUGACUUAAGUCUGAAAAUAUGUCAGUCUCACAUUAUGUAUUUUUCUGACCACUUAAUAUUUUAAAGACAUCUACUUGUUAUAAAAUCACAAUUUGGAAUAAAUGUGGUAAAUUUUAGC